UACGUAGGGUCCAAGCGUUGUUCGGAUUUACUGGGCGUAAAGGGCGCGUAGGCGGCUUAACAAGUCACUUGUGAAAUCUCCGGGCUUAACUCGGAACGGCCAAGUGAAACUGUUAUGCUAGAGUGCAGAAGGGGCAAUCGGAAUUCUUGGUGUAGCGGUGAAAUGCGUAGAUAUCAAGAGGAACACCUGAGGUGAAGACGGGUUGCUGGGCUGACACUGACGCUGAUGCGCGAAAGCCAGGGGAGCAAACGGG
rnacentral:rRNA from 1 species